rnacentral:misc_RNA from 1 species
AGCUGAUUCCCACUUCAACUGCCACGUUAAUCCUAUUACAUUUGGGUCAAAGAAACGCAAUCCUCAAGCCAAUCCUCGCACAUUUCAUGCACAAGAUCCACAGUCACAUGGUAGUUGGCCUAGUGACCUCGAUUCAAGUGACAUCAAUUCAGAUGUGAAUGUCUUUCAUCAGAGUCGUCCAAGGAGGUUGGUGGUAGCCCAGGGUAAUGUGCGUCUUUGCCAUCCUAUUGCUGGUGGUGCCCCAUUUAUAACGUGCUACAGUUGCUUUAACUUACU